rnacentral:rRNA from 1 species
GCGACCCCAGGUCAGGCGGGGCUACCCGCUGAGUUA